rnacentral:rRNA from 1 species
UACGUAGGUGGCAAGCGUUGUCCGGAUUUAUUGGGUUUAAAGGGUGCGUAGGCGGCCCUGUAAGUCAGUGCUGAAAUAUCCCGGCUUGACCGGGAGGGUGGCAUUGAUACUGCGGGGCUAGAGUACAGAUGAGGUAGGCGGAAUUGACGGUGUAGCGGUGAAAUGCUUAGAUAUCGUCAAGAACACCUAUAGCGAAGGCAGCUUACUAGGCUGUAACUGACGCUGAGGCACGAAAGUGUGGGGAUCAAACAGG